rnacentral:lncRNA from 1 species
CUCAACUAGACUUUGGCUCAUUUGGGGUCCAGGGCCCAGUCUCCUGCACGGGUAAUAGCUAGGGGUAAUCAAGUCUUCGCUACAGAAAUGUAGGACAGCGGCGUUGUGACGAUAUUCCCACCACGCUCCGCGCCGCUCUCCAGCCCCAAGACCCCUCGUUUCCUUCAGGGACCGCCCUUUGGUGCUUCCGCGACGCUGGAAACCGGCAGAGAUUCCUACCACCGUAUUGCCUGCAGCCUCCAGUCCUUUUUCGGGUUUCUUGUACCCUGAGGCCCUGGUGGGUCUGCCUAUCCUCCUUCAGGGCUCGUCCCUUCAAAAAAAAUCUGCACGCCUCUCCCCACCAUCGGAUGACAACUCCAGUUGCCAUCGGUGCAUCCUGUGUUUACGGAAAGUGGCCCAAGAAAGCCCUCAAAAGUAUACCUUAAAGGCCAUCUUAGGGCAAAGCAGCCAGUUUUUUCUUUGGGGGAGGGCGGCCGC